UGCCUGUAAUCCCAGCACUUUGGGAGGCCAAGGCGGCUGAAUCACCUUAGGUCAGGCGUUCAAAACUGGCCUGGCCAACAUGGCGAAACCCCGUCUCUACUAAAAAUUACAAAAAUUAGCUGGGCAUGCUGGGCGUGGUGGCUCAAGCCUGUAAUCCCAGCACUUUAGGAGGCUGAGGUGGGCAGAUCACCUGAGGUCGGGAGUUCGAGACCAGCCUGACCAAAAUGGAGAAACUCCCACCUCUACUAAAAAUACAAAUUAGUCAGGCAUGGUGGUACGUGCCUGUAAUCCCGGCUACUCUGGAGGCUGAGGCAGAAUCAUUUGAACCUGAAAGGUGGAGGUUGCGGUGAGCCAAGAUCGUGCCAUUGCACUCCAGCACGGGCAACAACAGUGAAACUCUCUCUCAAAAAAAAAAAAUUAGCUGGGCGUUGUGGUGGGCACCUGUAAUCCCAGCUACUCGGGAGGCUGAGGCAGGGAGAACUGCCUGAACCCGGGAGGCUGAGGUUGCAGUGAGCCAAGAUCGUGCCACUGCACUCAAGCCUGGGCAAAAGAGCAAGACUCCAUCUCAAAAAAAAAUAAAAUAAAAAAUAAAUAAAUAAAUAAAUAAAUAAAUAAAUAAAUAAAUAAAUUUGCCGGGCGCAACAGCUCAUGCCUGUAAUCCCAGUACUUUGGGAGGCUGAGGCAGGUGGAUCACGAGGUCAGGAGUUCAAGAUCAACCUGGCCAACAUGGUGAAACCCCGUCUCAACUAAAAAUACAAAAAUUAGCUGGGCAUGGUGGCACGUGCCUGUAAUUCCAGCUACAUGGGAGGCUGAGGCAGGAGAAUUGCUUGAACCAGGACCUGGGAGGCAGAGGUUGCAGUGAGCCGAGAUUGUGCCACUGCACUCCAGCCUGGGCUACAGAGGGAGACUGUCUCAAAACAAACAAACAGACGUAAGGAUGGAAUGAGAUGUUAUGUUUAGGUGAAGGGAGAAAAGAAAUGGGAGAGGAAGAAGAAAGGGAAGAGAGAAGGGAGGUGGGAGGAAGGAGAAGGGAGGGGGCAGGAACAUGACAGCAAGCUUUGUAAACUGCAAAGGCCAUUGCUUCACUCCACUCCCAUUCAAACCCAGUGUUCCAACCUGACCAUUCUACUCACAUUUUCAAAAUGCCUUUCCUGCCUCAACUCCCAAAACCUUGCACAUACCAUUUCUACAGUCCAACCAAAUACACUCCUGAAGUCAACCAGGACAUCAUCCAGCAGUCAUCCAGUCAACUAGGACUGUUGAUUCCCCAACCUGUCCACAUAUCCAAAUCACUCCCAUCCUUCAAAAUGCAGCUCAAACCAUCCCUUUGAUAAAGUCUUCCCUCCUCAGAACACUGCAGUAUUUGCCAUAGUGUCCCAACCCCACCCCCAACACAAGUAGGUCCCGUGUGAGGCCUGGGAAUCUGUGUUUUUUGUUUUGUUUUGUUUUGUUUUUUUUUUGAGACAGAAUCUUGCUCUGUCGCCCAGACUGGAGUGCAGUGGCGCGAUCUCAGCUCACUGCAACCUCUGCCUCCCGGGUUCAAGUGAUUCUCCCACCUUAGCCUCCUGGGUACUGGGAUUACAGGUGCGCAGCACCACACCCGGCUAAUUUUCGUAUUUUCAGUAGAGACAGGGUUUCACCAUGUUGGUCAGGCUGGUCUCGAACUCCUGACCUCAUGAUCUGCCUGCCUCAGCCUCCCAAAGUGCUGGGAUUACAAACGUGAGCUACCGUGCCCAGCCUGGGAAUCUGUAUUUUAAACAAGCUUCCCAGGGUGAUUCUGAUGGUUGGUGAAGGCUGAGAACCAC
rnacentral:lncRNA from 10 species